UACCGGCAGCACAAGUGAUGACCGCUAUUACUGGGCGUAAAGCGCACGCAGGCGGUCUGUCAAGUCGGAUGUGAACUCCCCGGGCUCAACCUGGGAACUGCAUCCGAAACUGGCAGGCUAGAGUCUUGUAGAGGGGGGUAGAAUUCCAGGUGUAGCGGUGAAAUGCGUAGAGAUCUGGAGGAAUACCGGUGGCGAAGGCGGCCCCCUGGACAAAGACUGACGCUCAGGUGCGAAAGCGUGGGGAGCAAACAGG
rnacentral:misc_RNA from 1 species